UUGUGGCAGUUCUGCUGAAAACCGAGCCAUCAUCAUGCGGUUGUUCUCCCGCUGCACCACGCAGCAAUGAAAUCCUGGGGGCGUAUCCCAUGUCAUCGACACCUGCCGGUGACAUUUGCCUCGUGGAAGAUUCAUCGCCGCCAACUAUCAUCACUGCAUCUAUGCGAACUGCGUCUACGUCGGACCACAUGACCCGCUUCCCCGCUAUAAAAGGCCAGACCACACCGAGCUUCACCAGUGGGCAUGGCAGCAGCCUCAGCGGCAAGAUGCUAAGGAAUCCCUGCUGUUUCGUACUGCAAGUUGUGGCAGUUCUGCUGCAAACCGAGCCAUCAUCAUGCGGUUGUUCUCCCGCUGCACCACGCAGCAAUGAAAUCCUGGCGGCGUAUCCCAUUCAUCGACACGUGCCGGUGACAUUUGCCUCGUGGAGGAUUCAUCGCCGCCAACUAUCAUCACUGCAUCUAUGCGAACUGCGUCUACGUCGGACAACAUGAGCCGCUUCCCCGCUAUAAAAGGCCAGACCACACCGAGCUUCACCAGUGGGUAUGGCAGCAGCCUCAGCGGCAACAUGCUAAGGAAUCCCUUCUGUUUCGUACUGCAGGACGUACCAAGACGCAAGUAAGCAUACCCGGGCCUGCACUUCGGCCAAGUCAUCUUACCUGGCCCACCGGAGAUACUGCUGCGCCUGCGCCUACCAUGCACCUGGAGUACAAAAGCAGCCAUGAUGGCAGCGGGUGCUCAUUCUGGCAGCGGUUGCGACAGCAAGCACGCGCAAUAUCCGAGCUACUUUGCAUCUGCAGAGCUUGGGCCAGAGAAAUCUCUAAGUCGGUGUAGUGUGCGUACAAAGCCAAGGCGCCCGGACGUGAUAUCGUCAUGCAUGGAACGAAGAAGAGCAGGCCGCAGGUUUUCGGGCACAACUAGAAGCAAUGGGGGAUCAUCAGGCGAGUAAUGUUUUUUUUUGUACAGCACACCAUUACGAAAAGUAAACGCUGUUGUUCCUGCUA